rnacentral:rRNA from 1 species
CCUACGGGAGGCAGCAGUGGGGAAUAUUGCACAAUGGGGGAAACCCUGAUGCAGCGACGCCGCGUGAGUGAAGAAGUAUUUCGGUACGUAAAGCUCUAUCAGCAGGGAAGAAAAUGACGGUACCUGACUAAGAAGCCCCGGCUAACUACGUGCCAGCAGCCGCGGUAAUACGUAGGGGGCAAGCGUUAUCCGGAUUUACUGGGUGUAAAGGGAGCAUAGACGGCAGCGCAAGUCUGGAGUGAAAUCCCAUGGCUUAACCAUGGAACUGCUUUGGAAACUGUGCAGCUAGAGUGCAGGAGAGGUAAGCGGAAUUCCUAGUGUAGCGGUGAAAUGCGUAGAUAUUAGGAGGAACACCAGUGGCGAAGGCGGCUUACUGGACUGUAACUGACGUUGAGGCUCGAAAGCGUGGGGAGCAAACAGGAUUAGAUACCCUAGUAGUC